GUGCCAGCAGCCGCGGUAAUACGGAGGAUCCAAGCGUUAUCCGGAUUUAUUGGGUUUAAAGGGUGCGUAGGCGGCUUUUUAAGUCAGGGGUGAAAGACGGUAGCUCAACUAUCGCAGUGCCCUUGAUACUGAAGAGCUUGAAUGAACUAGAGGUAGGCGGAAUGUGACAAGUAGCGGUGAAAUGCAUAGAUAUGUCACAGAACACCGAUUGCGAAGGCAGCUUACUAUGGUUUAAUUGACGCUGAGGCACGAAAGCGUGGGGAUCAAACAGGAUUAGAUACCCUGGUAGUCCACGCCCUAAACGAUGAAUACUCGCUGUUAGCGAUACACAGUUAGCGGCUAAGCGAAAGCGUUAAGUAUUCCACCUGGGGAGUACGGUCGCAAGAUUGAAACUCAAAGGAAUUGACGGGGGCCCGCACAAGCGGAGGAGCAUGUGGUUUAAUUCGAUGAUACGCGAGGAACCUUACCCGGGCUUGAAAGUUAGUGAAUCAUUUAGAGAUAGAUGAGUCCGCAAGGACACGAAACUAGGUGCUGCAUGGCUGUCGUCAGCUCGUGCCGUGAGGUGUUGGGUUAAGUCCCGCAACGAGCGCAACCCCUAUGUUUAGUUGCCAGCACGUUAUGGUGGGGACUCUAAACAGACUGCCUGUGCAAACAGAGAGGAAGGAGGGGACGACGUCAAGUCAUCAUGGCCCUUACGUCCGGGGCUACACACGUGCUACAAUGGGUGGUACAGAGGGCAGCAAGCUGGUAACAGCAAGCCAAUCUCCAAAAGCCAUUCACAGUUCGGAUAGAGGUCUGCAACUCGACCUCUUGAAGUUGGAUUCGCUAGUAAUCGCAUAUCAGCAAUGAUGCGGUGAAUACGUUCCCGGGCCUUGUACACACCGCCCGUCAAGCCAUGGAAGUUGGGGGUACCUAAAGUAUGUAACCGCAAGGAGCGUCCUAGGGUAAAACCGAUAACUGGGCUAAGUCGUAACAAGGUAACC
rnacentral:rRNA from 1 species